GUGAUCAAAAGGUUAAAUUUGUGGCUACAAUUUCUGAUGAUAUAUUCUACGACAAACAUGCAUGUUGAAAGGUUUAUGAUGAGUUAUAAUAAGCUUCAAUAAUUGAAGGAUCGCUAGCAACCUAAAGAAGAAGAAGAAAAAGGGUAUUUUAAUCGUUACAGAACCUUAAACAGAUGAACAGAGCAGAACAGUAUUCAAUGACCUUAAAGAGUAAGACAGACAGACAGACAGCUAUCUCUAUACCUAUAUCAUUGGGAAUGAAAAGAACCUCAUCUAUAACUAUAUGUGGCCACUGAAGGAAGAUUAGUUAUAAAGUUAUAUCUGCAUGAGUAAGUCCGAAAAACUGAAAACCAAAAAAAUUCUGAAAACACCAAUUGAACAAAGACCACAGAUAAAUUCCAUCACAGCAGAAGAGUGGUUCUGUCUGUGACAUAUUUUUAUGGUAUUGGGAAUAAGACUUGAUUGUCUAAUACAGCUAAUACAAAGGUAGGUACCAGUAUGUUAUUCCUGUUUUGAAAAGAACAACAAAUGUAUUAUAGAAUUUGAUUGGAAAUCUGGCUCCACUUCUGAUGGCUUAACAAUCUAAGCAAUUAACUUUUAUUUAGCUGAUAAGAUUCAUGGUUUAUAAUAUAAUGCUUAUAUUUCAUUAAUUAAAAUCUUGAAUUUACUCAUUAACAUUGCUCUUGUCUACUGGGGUACCAGAAUGUCCUACCACAGAGAAGGUACUUGUCAAAAAAAUAUAGAUAUUAUUUGCUGUCAUUCUACGGUCAUGAUACAACCUGUUUGAUAAUAUAAAUCAUGUAUGUAAUUAUUCACUGAUGCUUUUUUACCUGUAUAUAUGUAAAUUCUAUAAGCUGUAUUGCUUUUGAAUAAAAGACCAUAGGCCUUGUGGGAACAUUUGGUUGAUUACAUAGGGAAUCACUGAAGCAUGACUGGAGCAGACCCCUCUUAGGCCCCCACUGAAACCUGCUUUUAUUAUAAGUCUUGUUUAGAAGUCAACUCUCUAAUCAGUACCAUUGUAUAUAUAAAUUUAAGGAUCUGAUGUAAUUUAAAAAAAAAUGCUGGGUUGCUGUUGCAGGAUAGCUAUCUUAUCUGUAGGUUUUCAACAUCUAUUACACAUUUGUUUACUUUCUACAAAAUGUACAUAUAGUAUACAAACAAUGAUCAUGUCAAACAAUUGUUAAGAAGCAUGUUAUAUUUUAAGUUAGCAUCAUUAAAUAUUGAUUAGGAUAAAUUUGUACCAGGCAGAGCUUGUCCCUAAAGAUUGAGACUGGGGAUGGCCAUUGGAGCUGAUUUUUAUAGUUAGAAUCAGUCAGAUUUUUAAACUUCAUUCAACAUUUAGCAACACUGUAGAAUUUUUGUGUUGUAACUGUUUAUAAUUUGAAAGAAGUUGUCAAGAAAAAAUUUAAAUUUCGGAUAUCUUCUCUUGUUUUUCUUGUUGUUAUCUAAAUUUAUUCCAGUAUAUAGAAAUUUAGAGAUAUGGUAUAAUUGCCAUUUACAUUUUAUUAAGCAGAGACCAAAUAGAAAGGAUGUAAUCAACUAAAGAUCACAAGGUCUUCAACAGUGAGCAAAAUCUAUACUGUAUAGUAAGCUAUACAAGUCCCCAACAUGACAAACUGUGAAACAAUUCAUACAAGACUACAAUGGCUUGAGAUAUGAUGAAAUAAAAACAAAAGACAAAUAGGAUAAACAGCAAACAAUGAACUUCCAUCGCUGUGUGCUGACACAGAGUGUUAGUUUAAAAGAUAAAUCAACAUGUCACUUUUAAACAAAGUAAAGAAAUGUUCAAUGCA